rnacentral:rRNA from 1 species
UACGGAGGGGGUUAGCGCUGUUCGGAAUGACUGGGCGUAAAGCGCGCGUAGGCGGAUCAGGAAGUUGGGGGUGAAAUCCCGGGGCUCAACCCCGGAAUGGCCUUCAAAACUCCUGGUCUUGAGUUCGAGAGAGGUGAGUGGAAUUCCGAGUGUAGAGGUGAAAUUCGUAGAUAUUCGGAGGAACACCAGUGGCGAAGGCGGCUAUCUGGACGGUUUCUGACACUAAGACUCGAAAGCGUGGGGAGCAAACAGG